CCCUGUGCAGACCACAAGGCAACUCCAAUGAGAAGACCAUAGUAACUUCCCCUCCUGCAGUGAUGACUUUCCUUUCUUAGACCUUGGGGCAGGGCUCUGGAGAGAUGGGGUUCCAGGACACAUUGGUGAGGUUGUCUGCCCAAGGAAGUCAGAUCUCUGCCAGAAAAACACUUGAGUUGAUGGAUAAGCAGACAUUCACAAAACUUCAGCUGGAAUCACAACUCAACCUUGUAGAGAAGAUUCAUACCUUUCAUCCACAAAGAUAGAGGUCCAGAAAGGAAACAUUGCACCUGAUUCCACCCCGGAUUUUAAAGGCCUAGCAUUUGCUAUCCUUGAAAAUGUCCAGGAGCUUGGGGUCAGGUGGUGGUACACCUGGUUAAUCACAUACAUUAUAGUGCACAAGGACCUGAGUUCAAGGCCCUGGUCUCCCCUGCUGGGGAAAGAUUCAUGAGUUGUAAAGUAAGGCUGCAGGUGUCUCUCUCUUUCCCUCUCU